UUGGAAUCCUUGUGACGAACUCAGCCUCGCACAGGGGAGGCUCUGAGGUUGUGUUCCUGGAAUAAGUAAAGCUGAGAUGGGGCAGGCUGAAUCAAGUGUCCUAUGUCAGGUUGAGUGACCUGUCUGAUGUCUCACACAUGGUGAGGGGGGUGCUUCCCUGCACUUGGAGCUCAGCCAGCAUUCUAGGUGAUGGAGCUGAGGGCCUUGGCUUGCCUGCCCAUUGUGGAUUGAAGAAACUGGAUGUCAGCUCACAGGGUGCAAGGGGCUCCCUAGGGUGGAGGCAAGUGGGCUUUUUGCUGGGUAGUUGGAUGCAGUAUUGUGAAGGCGCAUGACAGGAGAUUGAGGGGAGGUGGGGGUGCUCUGACCGACUGGGGGUUCCCUGAGGUACCUGAUCUCCCCUACAGGUGUGGUGGCUGGAGGCGGCCGAAUUGACAAACCCAUCUUGAAGGCUGGCCGGGCGUACCACAAAUAUAAGGCAAAGAGGAACUGCUGGCCACGAGUACGGGGUGUGGCCAUGAAUCCUGUGGAGCAUCCUUUUGGAGGUGGCAACCACCAGCACAUCGGCAAGCCCUCCACCAUCCGCAGAGAUGCCCCUGCUGGCCGCAAAGUGGGUCUCAUUGCUGCCCGCCGGACUGGACGUCUCCGGGGAACCAAGACUGUGCAGGAGAAAGAGAACUAGUGCUGAGGGCCUCAAUAAAGUUUGUGUUUAUGCCACCAG
rnacentral:sRNA from 1 species